CUCGAAAUUCCGUUUGCGUGUCCAUACUACAGCACUGAUAUUUUGACACCGCAAUUCUGCCGUCUUAAUGAUCGCACUUAUGCUGCCCCCAUAAGGGUUGAUGUUGAAUACACUACAUAUUUACGGGAUAAAACGCUGACGCUACGGGAGGAAAGUGCCACCAUUGGGUACAUGCCUAUUAUGCUCAGAAGCUGUUUUUGUGUUCUGAAUGGGAAGGAUGAAGAUGAACUAGCAAGAUAUGGCGAGUGCCCCCUUGAUCCUGGCGGCUACUUCAUUGUGAAAGGAAAUGAGAAGGUCAUUCUUAUACAAGAAGAAUUACCAAAGAAUCAUAUUAUUAUUGAGACCGAUCGUAAAGGAAGGUCAUACACUCAUACUCCUUCCUUAUUAUAACUUUUUGUGUCCUUUGUCGACUAUUUUGAAUUUUG